GACGAACCGUGCGAACGUUGUUCGGAAUCACUGGGCUUAAAGGGCGCGUAGGCGGGUCUUCAAGUUUGGGGUGAAAUCCUCCGGCUCAACCGGAGAACUGCCUCGAAUACUGAAGGUCUCGGAGGGGAUAGGGGCAUGCGGAACUACGGGUGGAGCGGUGAAAUGCGUUGAUAUCCGUAGGAACUCCGGUGGCGAAGGCGGCG
rnacentral:rRNA from 1 species